rnacentral:rRNA from 1 species
AGAGUUUGAUCCUGGCUCAGAACUAACGCUGGCGGUGUGUCUUAGUCAUGCAAGUCGCACGAGAAAGCACUCUUCGGAGUGCAAGUACAGUGGCGGACGGGUGAGUAACACGUGGGAAAUCUGCCCUCAAGUUGGGGACAACCCGCCUAACGGCGGGCUAAUACCGAAUGUGGUUCCUGCUUCGCAUGUGGCAAGAACUAAAGGUGGCCUAUCCUUGGAAGCUACCGCUUGUGGAUGAUCCCGCGCUCGAUUAGCUAGUUGGUAAGGUAACGGCUUACCAAGGCGACGAUCGAUAGCCGGCCUGAGAGGGUGAUCGGCCACACUGGGAUUGAGAUAAGGCCCAGUCUCCUACGGGAGCCAGCAGUCUAGAAAUUUGGGCAAUGGGCGAAAGCCUGACCCAGCGACACCGCGUGGGGGAUGAAGCUCCUCGGAGUGUAAACCCCUGUUAGGUGGGACGAAUCCCCGAUUGCAAAUAGUGAUCGGGGUUGACGGUACCACCAGAGGAAGCUCCGGCUAACUCCGUGCCAGCAGCCGCGGUAAUACGGGGGGAGCGAGCGUUGUUCGGAUUUAUUGGGCGUAAAGGGCGUACAGGCGGUAGUGUAAGUCAGAUGUGAAAUGCCUCGGCUCAACCGGGGAUCUGCAUUUGAUACUGCAUUACUUGAGUACAGGAGAGGAGAGCGGAAUUCUAGGUGUAGCGGUGGAAUGUGUAGAUAUCUGGAAGAACACCAGUGGCGAAGGCGGCUCUCUGGCCUGAUACUGACGCUGACGCGCGAAAGCUAGGGGAGCAAACAGGAUUAGAUACCCUGGUAGUCCUAGCUGUAAACGUUGGGCACUAGGUGUUGGGGGUAUCGACCCCCUCAGUGCCGAAGCUAACGCAU